CUGGCGAGUAAACUAAAAAAUUUACUAGCCAAUGGCGAUUCAAUUGCCAAAGUGUCCGUAGAGGGCUGCAUUGCAUGCUUCAGCACUU